AACUCCAGAUCACUGACCCAUUUAGUAUCUUUAGGAGGAAAGGGAAAGCGAAGCUGAUCGGAAAGCAGACUGGGAAGAGGAAAUGUGGGAGAGGAAAAGGAAUUCCCCGGUUUCUCAUAGUCAAGAAGCAGGAGAGAAGGAGGCUGCAGACCACAGAAACUUCAGAAACUUUGAUUAACUGCACUCAUCAGGACUCUAAAGGCGCAG